rnacentral:rRNA from 1 species
CCUACGGGGUGCUGCAGUGGGGGAUAUUGCACAAUGGGGGGAACCCUGAUGCAGCGACGCCGCGUGUGGGAAGACGGUCCUCUGGAUUGUAAACCACUGUCCCCAGGGACGAAAAUGACGGUACCUGGGGAGGAAGCUCCGGCUAACUACGUGCCAGCAGCCGCGGUAAUACGUAGGGAGCGAGCGUUUUCCGGAAUUACUGGGUGUAAAGGGAGCGUAGGCGGGGAUGCAAGUUGGGUGUCAAAACUACCGGCUCAACUGGUAGUCGCACUCAAAACUGCAGCUCUUGAGUGAAGUAGAGGCAGGCGGAAUGCCUAGUGUAGCGGUGAAAUGCGUAGAUAUUAGGAGGAACACCAGUGGCGAAGGCGGCCUGCUGGGCUUUUACUGACGCUGAGGCUCGAAAGUGUGGGGAGCAAACAGGAUUAGAUACCCGGGUAGUC